CUACGGGGUGCACCAGUGAGGAAUAUUGCACAAUGGGGGGAACCCUGAUGCAGCAACGCCGCGUGGAGGAUGACGCAUUUCGGUGUGUAAGCUCCUUUUAUAUGUCAAGAAAAUGACGGUAGCAUAUGAGUAAGCACCGGCUAACUCCGUGCCAGCAGCCGCGGUAAUACGGAGGGUGCAAGCGUUACUCGGAAUCACUGGACGUAAAGGACGCGUAGGCGGGUUGGAAAGUCAGGUGUGAAAUCCUACAGCUUAACUGUAGAACUGCACUUGAAACUUCUAAUCUAGAGUAUGGGAGGGGGAGAUGGAAUUAGUGGUGUAGGGGUAAAAUCCGUAGAUAUCACUAGGAAUACCUAAAGCGAAGGCGAUCUCCUGGAACAUUACUGACGCUAAGGCGUGAAAGCGUGGGGAGCAAACAGGAUUAGAUACCCGAGUAGUC
rnacentral:rRNA from 1 species